rnacentral:rRNA from 1 species
GCUGAACGCUGGCGGCAGGCCUAACACAUGCAAGUCGAACGAGUGGCGGACGGGUGAGUAGGGUCUGGACACCUGCCUGAUGGAGGGAGCUAACGACUGGAAACGGUAGCUACUACCGCAUACCAUCCGAUGUGGCCAGAGGGGAUUAGCUAGUUGGUGGGGUAACGGCUCACCAAGGCGACGAUCCCUAGCAGGUCUGAGAGGAUGACCAGCCACACUGGAACUGAGACACGGCCCAGACUCCUACGGGAGGCAGCAGUGGGGAAUCUUGCACAAUGGGCGAAAGUCUGAUGCAGCCAGGCCGCGUGUAUGAAGAAGGCUUUCGGGUCGUAAAGCACUUUUAUCGGGGAGGCGUUACCCGCCGAAGAAGCACCGGCUAACUCCGUGCCAGCAGCCGCGGUAAUAC